ACGGGUGAGUAAUGUCUGGGAAACUGCCUGAUGAGGGGGAUAACUACUGGAACGGUAGCUAAUACCGCAUAACGUCGCAAGACCAAAGAGGGGGACCUUCGGGCCUCUUGCCAUCAGAUGUGCCCAGAUGGGAUUAGCUAGUAGGUGGGGUAACGGCUCACCUAGGCGACAAUCCCUAGCUGGUCUGAGAGGAUGACCAGCCACACUGGAACUGAGACACGGUCCAGACUCCUACGGGAGGGCAGCAUG
rnacentral:rRNA from 1 species